rnacentral:rRNA from 1 species
GUAGCAUAAUCAUUAGGGGUUUAAUUGGAACCUGGUAUGAAGGGUUGGACAAAGGAAGAACUGUCUUUAUAGUAAAAAUUGAAAUUUACUUUUAAGUGAAAAGGCUUAAGUAAAUCAAAGGGACGAUAAGACCCUAUAAAGCUUUAUAAGUUAUUUAAAUUUAGUUGAUUUAAAAGUAUAAAAACUAAAUUUAAUUGUUUUAUUUUGUUGGGGUGAUGUGAGUAUAAUUUUUAUUAACUGCUUAGAGAUAAUACUUUUAUAGAAGAGUUGAAGAAAUAGGAUCCUUUUUAAAGAUUAAAAGACUAAGUUACUUUAGGGAUAACAGCGUUAUUUCUUUUGAGAGUUCAUAUCGAAAAAGAAGAUUGCGACCUCGAUGUUGAAUUAAAAUAUCUAUAUAAUGCAGCCGUUAUAAAAGAAGGUCUGUUCGACCUUUAAAUUUUU